rnacentral:rRNA from 1 species
CCUACGGGAGGCUGCAGUGGGGAAUAUUGCACAAUGGGGGAAACCCUGAUGCAGCGACGCCGCGUGAGUGACGAAGUAUUUCGGUACGUAAAACUUUAUCAGCAGGGAAGCAAAUGACGGUACCUGACUAAGAAGCCCCGGCUAACUACGUGCCAGCAGCCGCGGUACUACGUAGGGGGCACGGGUGAUCCGGAUUUACUGGGUGUAAAGGGAGCGUAGACGGUGAUGCAAGUCUGAAGUGAAAGGCGGGGGCCCAACCCCCGGACUGCUGUGGAAACUGUUUGGCUAGAGUGUAGGAGAGGUAAGUGGAAUUCGUAGUGUAGCGGUGAAAUGCGUAGAUAUUAGGAGGAACACCAGUGGCGAAGGCAGCAUACUGGAGUAUAACUGACGUUGAGGCUCGAAAGCGUGGGGAGCGAACAGGAUUAGAUACCCUGGUAGUC